rnacentral:snoRNA from 1 species
GGGCUUGUGAUGAGAAUUCAAAUUAUCUUAGCGGAUUUCAGUGAGAUUUCAUGUCUAUGAUCUGAUUGUUACACACACUGAAGCCU